CUACGGGGUGCUCCAGUGGGGAAUAUUGGGCAAUGGGCGAAAGCCUGACCCAGCAACGCCGCGUGAUUGAAGAAGGUCUUCGGAUUGUAAAAAUCUGUCCUUGGGGACGAAAAAAAUGACGGUACCCAAGGAGGAAGCCCCGGCUAACUACGUGCCAGCAGCCGCGGUAAUACGUAGGGGGCGAGCGUUGUCCGGAAUUACUGGGCGUAAAGGGUGCGCAGGCGGCGCUUUAAGUCAGAUGUGAAAUACCCAGGCUUAACCUGGGGGGUGCAUUUGAAACUGGAGUGCUUGAGUGCAGGAGAGGAAAGUGGAAUUCCUAGUGUAGCGGUGAAAUGCGUAGAUAUUAGGAGGAACACCAGUGGCGAAGGCGACUUUCUGGACUGUAACUGACGCUGAGGCACGAAAGCGUGGGGAGCAAACAGGAUUAGAUACCCUCGUAGUC
rnacentral:rRNA from 1 species